AGUCAUGUAACAGCCAUUACAAUGUUUCUCUUCCUAAGGUCACAGCUCUCGUAAGGGUGGCCUUUUCCGCCAGGUUCUGGUAAUAUUACCUACCCUCACUAGAGGCCUGGUGGUAAUGAUGACUCCCUACCGUCACCAGUUACAGGAUGCUUCACAAACCCUCCCCAUGUUUUUAGGGCCCCAUUUAUUUGACUCUUCUUAAGUGUCCCAUUGUUUCUUGACACCUGUUUCUUGAGGAGACCCUGCCUAAUAUGUCCCCACAACAACCCUGAUCAUAAACUCCAAGGGCGUAGGGAAUUUAAUCUCUUUUAUUUAAUGUUGCUAUCCCAGCAUCUAAAAUGAUGUCUAUUGCACAGCAGGUUUACAAUAUAUGUUUCUUGAAUGUACAUAUGAAGUGACCACUUUCUCUCCAUUGGUAAUCUUUAUGUUAAAGCCUAUUAUGACUGAUUUAACACAGUUUCACCAGCAAUUUUGUGCUUUUAUUUGUACUUUGUUAAAGAAUGACAAAGAAUUAUAAAUAUCAGCAAAAAGCAAGCAAACUUGUUAUUCGCAUGGAAAUCCAAGAUAAUUAACAAAAAUCUGUUGAAACAAUAAGAGAUUUCAGCAAGAAACAAUGUUAAUGUAUAAAAACCAACAGCUUUCCUAUAUACACCUACAUCUGGAGCACCUGUCUCUGCCCCCAGUAGAACCUCCACACUGGGCUUUAGGGGCACCAGGAUGGGGCUCAGGGGUUAGUGGGUCUAGUGGCUGUAAAGGAACAAGGUGGAGGUCACAGGUUGAAAAAUUAUAAAGUUAUAAUUUUACAACUAUAUAAUUUCAAUUCUAAAUACUUCAGUUGUCAUGAAGUUUUUCCACAAAAUCAAUUUCCCUACGUAACUCCAAAUUUUUUUCACACUUCAUGCAAGCAACCGUAAUUUUAAUAUUUUCAAUAUCCAAUCCAUGUUCAAAUUUCUCCAAUUGUCUCCAAACGACUUACGGAAAAAAUGCUAUUUCAAUCAGGAGCCAAUAGAUGACCACCCUUUGCAUUUGGCGGUACAGUUCAAGUUUAACCCUCAACCUCUUAGGGCUCAGAGAGAACCUGGCCAGCAGACUUUUAGGGACAGCAGCCUCCAUCUUUCUAAAUCGCGGAAACGCUCGAAGAGUACCUUCAAAAACCGACGGGGAGGCCUGUGGGAAACGCGGUCUGGAAUCGGUCUUGCUCACGGCGCGGCACUCUGGGAAGAGGAUUCUGGGCUCCUUCUGUGCAUGUGCGGCCGUAGCCUGGUCUCGUCAGCCGUCGUCUCUGGUCUCCAGGGAAGCGGUUUGGGAACCUCUGGGUCUAUUUGGAAAGUAAAGGCGGAACCACAGCUCUCCACACUCUCCCAAGAGCUGCAGGAAAUGACCAUCCCUCAGGUGAGCUCUUUAAUCAUCCCCUAACUUGUAUUGUAAUGAAUUUGUAAGGUUUCGACGGAUCCAUGCGUUAAGUGGAGAAGGAGAAAUAGAAGUAGAUCAAGUCACUCUUGAGGGAGAAUAUACGGUUUUACUGUUAACUGUGAUGUUUGCUGUGAGCUUUUGUAGGGGACCUUGUCAGGGUAAGUAGGUUCCCUCCAGGUACUGGUUUGCUAAGACUUCAUGUUGGUCGUGAAUGUGCAUUGAAUAUUGAUUGCCUUUUGUGCAUCUAGUAGAAUAAAGCUAUAGCUUAUUUCCUUUGAUCUAUAAGU
rnacentral:lncRNA from 1 species